GAAAAAAACCAAGUGAUGUACACUGUCACUCACAGAAACUCUAAGUCAACAAGUACAGAGACGCAGAGUGAAAAACCCAAGCCCUUUAAAGAGGCUUGUACGUUCUUGUGAGAGAGCAGGCCGGUCUUUCUCGGCGAGACAAAGGUGCGGGACAGUUUAUUAGUUCAAGGCUGAGCUCCCCGGCUGCCACUGCCGGCGCCUCUUCAAGGCCAGCUCCCGGCCCUUGCCGGUCCUUCAGAUUUAAUGUUGCCAUUUUACUCUGGAAUCUGGUUAAAAUGAAUAACCCCUUUGGAGAACAACAGAAGUCGUCUUUGCUCUGCCAUCUUUCACCACUUCCAGAAGAGAGAACCCCUGCCACGUAUCGAGGGUCACUAAAGGGCCGGAGCAGACGCAGGGCAGAACCAAACCCAGCCCAAGAAGAACCGUGAAGGUGACCAGAGCUGGCCAAGCGCUGGGGGGUCCACUGAUGAGUUUUCAUGCAAGAUGCCUCCAGUUCCUCUGCUCAAAGGUCUGAGUGUCUCCUGCGAGAGGCGUGGUAACCUGAGGCCCUUCUAGAAGGAGGGUCAGUGGGCUGCUUCCGGUCCCCCGCUGUCCUGCCCCACUGUGCGUCUCACAGCGUUGUCUGCUCUAGCGGCCGGCUGGGACCUCCUCCCCUUUCGUAAGUCUGGUGUCAUGCUCUCUUCCUAAAUGAAGCCUUAAAAUCUUCCCUGCAGUCGACACACUGCAGUUUGACAACCUUUCAUCGUGUUAUUAUUCACCCUGUCAUUGCAGCCUCUCUGCACAGCUGGAGUAUCCAUGACUUAUUUACAUGUUAUAAAU
rnacentral:lncRNA from 1 species